AGUAUAGAGACAAGAUAGUCGCGCCUUGACCCCCCUCCCCAGUCAAAGCACACACACAUUCAUUUCUGAGGUGUGCUCAUUUUUGCGUGCGUUCCAUCAUGCUGCAUCCCCUAAUAAUCGGCAUCAUGACCGUCAACACCUCUCUCACCGUCGUCUACUGGACCUUCCUCUUGGGCGACUUCUACUUCAAGUGGAUGAUGGAGCCCGAGGACAAGCCCAAGAAGGUGGUCACCCCCGCCUGAGGGUCCGAAAUGAGCCCACCUGAGCUAAAGUGUUGUUUGCGUCUAGGACAAUAGGCAGCUUUUAGAGAUUUUCUUUUGGGGAUUAUUAUUAUUUUUUUUUCUGGAGAAUAUUCCAGAUUCACAGUGAGAAGAAGGAGUCAAUGAAACAGAUGCGCCGGACGUCCACUAAUUUAGAAAACCUUUUCUUGAGGAAAAGCUCGACAAAUCUUGAUUUCCAGACUGGAUUCUCGGCCCCAAACAGGUGGAGGAUGGUUGUGAGCCAGACGGAACAGCAAUAGAAGAUGAAAAGCAGCCGAGUGUGUGUGUGUGGUCAUCCGACGGAGAGAGAGAGCAAAUGAAAAUGGAGGAAGAGAACGAAAGAAAGAUGUUGCCAUGUUGCCAGCAUCCAUCCAGCCCUCCUCCUCCUCCUCCCAGAAGCAUCGUCCGUUCGUUCCGAGAAGAUCCUCCCAUGGCGUGCCGGUGAAAUGCCCGCUUGAGCCCUGAUGUCACCUCCCCUUUAUGUCCAUUGUCCAAUCAUAGCAAUCUCUGCAGUGAAGUAAAUGCGUUUGUCGUCUUCUUUGGCUGCAUAUAGCCGACUUCAUUUGCAGAUAAUGAGCGCAAACCUUCCGUGAUUACACUUCCAUUAUGAAAUCCGUCCCUAUUGUGAAUAAUUCUCCAUUGCACCCCGAUCACAAACGAUGAUGACAUCGUAGGUGUGAAACUCAGGUCCUGGAGGGCCGCCGUCCUGCAUGUUUUCCAAGUGUCCCUGUUGCAACGCACCUGAUUCAGAUCAUCAGCAAGCUCUGCGCAAGCCUGACGUUGAACCUGUUCGUUUGAAUCGGGUGUGUUGCAACAGGGAGACUUGGAAUGUCAAGUCAAGUCAACCGUAUUUCUCGAGCACUUUCAAACGGCCAUCGCUGCAUACAAAGUGCUGUACAUGGAGCAAUUUAACAUGCACAAUAAACAGUAAGACAAAUCGGUAAUAAAAGGCGGUAGAAAGCACCAAACGGUAAAAUCAAGAACAAAUUUAAGUCAUGCUGAGUCGAAUGCCAAAGAAUACAAGUGAGCAACAUGCAGGACAGUGGCCCUCCAGGACCUGAGUCUGACACCUAUGCAACAUGCACCCCCCCCCCAAAAAAAAAAAAAACGACGAUGUGACAUUGAUAUUGAAUGAAAAAAAAAGACAACAAAAAGUUAUACUGUAUUGUAUUCAAUACAAUUUCCUGGUCCUGUCAUAUGAAGCUCCCCCCCCCCCCCAGUAAACAACUUAACAAUACAA